rnacentral:lncRNA from 1 species
GUCCAUCCAAGCAUCACACCCCACCCUCUAGCACAGAGGGGACCAGCUUACCCACCUGGACCUGGCCUGGCUCAGCCCAGGCUUCUGCCCACCUGCCACAAUUGCCCCAAGCAAACAAGGAAGAUGGUACUGAGAUGAUAUGCCCCAGCGAUGAAGGCCACAGCUCCCAACAGCAGUGAGGGUCACAGCCCCCCACAGCUGUGAAGGUCACAGUCCCCCAC